rnacentral:rRNA from 1 species
AACGAACGCUGGCGGCAUGCCUAACACAUGCAAGUCGAACGAGACCUUCGGGUCUAGUGGCGCACGGGUGCGUAACGCGUGGGAACCUGCCCUUAGGUUCGGAAUAACUCCCCGAAAGGGGUGCUAAUACCGGAUAAUGUCUUCGGACCAAAGAUUUAUCGCCUUUGGAUGGGCCCGCGUUGGAUUAGCUAGUUGGUAGGGUAAAAGCCUACCAAGGUGACGAUCCAUAGCUGGUCUGAGAGGAUGAUCAGCCACACUGGGACUGAGACACGGCCCAGACCCCUACGGGGGGAAGCAGGGGGGAAUAUUGGACAGUGGGCGAAAGCCUGAUCCCCCAAUGCCGGGUGGGUGAUGAAGGCCUUAGGGUUGUAAAGCUUUUUUACCCGGGAUGAAAAUGACAGUACCGGGAAAAAAACCCCCGGCAACCCCCGU